UACGUAGGUGGCAAGCGAUACUCGGAAUCACUAGGCGUAAAGCGCAGGCAGGCGGUUUGGUAAGUCUUUUGUGAAAGCUCCCGGCUUAACUGGGAGAGGUCAAAGGAAACUACUAGACUAGAGUGUGGUAGGGGAUACUGGAAUUCCUGGUGUAGCGGUGAAAUGCGUAGAUAUCAGGAGGAAUACCUAUGGCGAAAGCAGGUAUCUGGGCCAUCACUGACGCUGAGCUGCGAAAGCUAGGGGAGCAAACAGG
rnacentral:rRNA from 1 species